AACGAACGCUGGCGGCAGGCCUAACACAUGCAAGUCGAGCGAGGACUUCGGUCCUAGCGGCGGACGGGUGAGUAACGUGUGGGAACGUGCCCUUUGCUACGGAAUAGCCCCGGGAAACUGGGAGUAAUACCGUAUGUGCCCGAGAGGGGAAAGAUUUAUCGGCAAAGGAUCGGCCCGCGUUGGAUUAGGUAGUUGGUGGGGUAAUGGCCUACCAAGCCGACGAUCCAUAGCUGGUUUGAGAGGAUGAUCAGCCACACUGGGACUGAGACACGGCCCAGACUCCUACGGGAGGCAGCAGUGGGGAAUAUUGGACAAUGGGCGCAAGCCUGAUCCAGCCAUGCCGCGUGAGUGAUGAAGGCCUUAGGGUUGUAAAGCUCUUUCACCGGAGAAGAUAAUGACGGUAUCCGGAGAAGAAGCCCCGGCUAACUUCGUGCCAGCCGCCGCGGUAAAAC
rnacentral:rRNA from 1 species